rnacentral:rRNA from 1 species
UACGUAGGGGGCAAGCGUUGUCCGGAAUCAUUGGGCGUAAAGCGCGUGUAGGCGGCCCGAAAAGUCUGGUGUGAAAACUUAGGGCUCAACCCUAAGCCUGCAUUGGAUACUGUCGGGCUCGAGUCUGGAAGAGGAGAGUGGAAUUCCUGGUGUAGCGGUGGAAUGCGCAGAUAUCAGGAGGAACACCAAUGGCGAAGGCAGCUCUCUGGUACAUGACUGACGCUGAGACGCGAAAGCGUGGGUAGCAAACAGG